ACGAGGAGGAGCGGUGACGUUACCCAAGAAAAACAUCAAGAAAGUCGUUGAUCGAGCUGGUGGCUGGUUGGUUCCGUGAGAUGAUGGUUGUACGGCACACUCAUAAAGCCUUGGCAGUGUAACAGUCUACUCCUCCACAACCACACGUUUAAGAACAAAGGAGAAGAUCUUUCAAAAAUUAACGGCAAGAGGAAAAGAGAUCUCAAAUCUGUUGAGGACGAUUGAAAAGAAAAGCUUUUUGGUCCUACCAUGUACACAUCAUUUUUGCAAGACAAAAGAAACAAUUUAAUGAAUCCUCAUGGCAUUAAGCAUUUUUAACAUUCUAUAUAUGUCCACCAAAAAUUAACUUUUAUUUCUCCAGUAUAGUAAAAAUGAAGACAUUUCAUUUCAUAUUUAA